AACGGCCGUACCAUGCUGAAUAUACCGGUUCUCGUUAGACAAGCAUCAUUGGGCGCGGUCAGUACUUGGGUGGGUGACCAUCUGGGAACACCGCGUGCCGUU